UACGGGGGAGCAAGCGUUGUUCGGAUUUACUGGGCGUAAAGGGCGCGUAGGCGGCCACCGCAAGUCGACUGUGAAAUCCCCGGGCUUAACCCGGAAAGGUCAGCCGAUACUGCGGGCUAGAGUGCAGAAGGGCAACUGGAAUUCUCGGUGUAGCGGUGAAAUGCGUAGAUAUCGAGAGGAACACCUGCGGCGAAGGCGGGUUGCUGGGCUGACACUGACGCUGAUGCGCGAAAGCUAGGGGAGCGAACGGG
rnacentral:rRNA from 1 species